rnacentral:rRNA from 1 species
UUAACCUUUCGGGGAGGACGCUCACCACUUUGUGGUUCAUGACUGGGGUGAAGUCGUAACAAGGUAGCCCUAGGGGAACCUGGGGCUGGAUCACCUCCUUAACGAUAGAU